rnacentral:siRNA from 1 species
GAAUCAGUUCAAUCGACGGUUGC